GCUGAUUUAAGCCAUGAAGGUGAUUUGUCUGUUGAUGGACGAUUUGAACGAAGCCUGGCUGGUUCUGGGAGCGUCUCUGGAAGAGUUCCACGGGCCCUGUGUUGGUGAAUUAAUAAGAGACACGCUGAUGAAACCAGAUUUGAUGAACCGUCGACAAUGCCAUUACCCUUCCCGUGCUGCUGCCCCUCACCUCUCCUGACCAAUCAAAUGCCACGUGAGAAUCAUAAAUCAUACUGAUUGGGACUCUAACUGAUCACUGUGCUGUUCAUUGAUUGUGGUGUCUCUCCAUGUAACAGGGGGCAAAGAGCUCUGUCCCUCUGCUGCCCUGGGGAAUGCCAAGAGCUUUGC